UUUAACGUAAAUUCUAAGUCGAAAAAGGGGCAUAAUUCUGUCAAAAUGCUUGAUAGAGUUACCUCCUCCUGUUUACAGGUUGGGGUCAUGCUGUUGAACAAGUGUGCAAAGUUUCAAAGCCAUAUGUCAAUGGACUUUGAAAAUAUUUGAACUAUUACAAACACUUUAACGUAAAUUCUAAGUCGAAAAAGGGGGAUUAUUCUGUCAAAAUGCUUGAUAGAGUUACCUCCUCCUGUCUACAGGUUGGGGUCAUAAUGGUGAACAAGAGUGCAAAGUUUCAAAGCCAUAUGUCAAUGGACUUUGAAAAUAUUUGAACUAAUACAAAAACUUUAACAUAAAUUCUAAGUCAAAAAAGGGGCAUAAUUCUGUCAAAAUGCUUGAUACAGUUACCUCCUCCUGUCUACAGGUUGGGGUCAUGAUGGUGAACAAGUGUGCAAAGUUUCAAAGCCAUGUCAAUGGACUUUGAAAAUAUUUGAACUAUUACAAACACUUUAACGUAAAUUCUAAGUCGAAAAAGGGGGAUUAUUCUGUCAAAAUGCUUGAUAGAGUUACCUCCUCCUGUCUACAGGUUGGGGUCAUGAUGGUGAACAAGAGUGCAAAGUUUCAAAGCCAUAUGUCAAUGGACUUUGAAAAUAUUUGAACUAUUACAAAAACUUUAACAUAAAUUCUAAGUCAAAAAAGGGGCAUAAUUCUGUCAAAAUGCUUGAUACAGUUACCUCCUCCUGUCUACAGGUUGGGGUCAUGAUUGUGAACAAGUGUGCAAAGUUUCAAAGCCAUAUGUCAAUGGACUUUGAAAAUAUUUGAACUAUUACAAAAACUUCAACGUAAAUUCUAAGUCGAAAAAGGGGCAUAAUUCUGUCAAAAUGCUUGAUACAGUUACCUCCUCCUGUCUACAGGUUGGGGUCAUGAUGGUGAACAAGUGUGCAAAGUUACAAAGCCAUAUGUCAAUAGACUUUGAAAAUAUUUGAACUAUUACAAAAACUUUAACAUAAGUGGUUACGCCGACGCCGACGCGGACGCCGACGCUCGGGUGACUACAAUAGCUCUACUUAUUCUUAUCGAAUAGUCGAGCUAAAAAGGGGCAUAAUUCUGUCAAAAUGCUUGAUAGAGUUACCUCCUCCUGUCUACAGGUUGGGGUCAUGAUGUUGAACAAGUGUGCAAAGUUUCAAAGCCAUAUGUCAAUGGACUUUGAAAAUAUUUGAACUAUUACAAAAACUUUAACGUAAAUUCUAAGUCGAAAAAGGGGCAUAAUUCUGUCAAAAUGCUUGAUAGAGUUACCUCCUCCUGUCUACAGGUUGGGGUCAUGAUGGUGAACAAGUGUGCAAAGUUUCAAAGCCAUAUGUCUAUGGACUAUGAAAAAUAUUUGAACUAUUACAAAAACUUUAACGUAAAUUCUAAGUCGAAAAAGGGGCAUAAUUCUGUCAAAAUGCUUGAUAGAGUUACCUCCUCCUGUCUACAGGUUGGGCUCAUGAUGGUGAACAAGUGUGCAAAGUUUCAAAGCCAUAUGUCAAUGGACUUUGAAAAUAUUUGAACUAUUACAAAAACUUUAACACAAGAGCUGUCGGUAGGACAGCAUGCUCGACUAUUCUUAGUGCUUGAUAGUAAAAAAAAUGCCUGAUACAGUUACCUCCUCCUGUUUACAGGUUGGGGUCAUGAUGGUGAACAAGUGUGCAAAGUUUCAAAGCCAUAUGUCAAUGGACUUUGAAAAUAUUUGAACUA